ACUGGGGGUGAAGGAAGGAAUGAUACCAGUUGGACUGGGAACAACUAGUAUGAGGAUAUCUACGGUUUCUUGGCUUCUUCCAGCUUUGGCAGCUUUAGCCCUGGUCCUGCACUGUAGCCACACACACAGUGCUGCGGCCAGAGUUUGAUGCCCUGAGCAGAGCACCACAUCUCACCCCGAGAACCAGGAGCCCCAACAACCACAGAUUUCCUCCUGCUGGCAGCACACCAGCAGCCCUGCAGCCUGACCACUGACAUCACUGCAAGGAGAGGUCCUGGCAAUGCUCCUCUUUUCAGCUAUUUAUUGUCUGUCUUCUCUUAUCAGUGCUGUAAUUUUAGACAGAUCCUCUGACAGAUUUCCUGACGUUCCCUAUUGUGCUCACAGAUGUGAAAAUAAAAGAAUUUCAUUUUUCCUGC